UACGUAGGGCGCAAGCGUUGUCCGGAAUUAUUGGGCGUAAAGAGCUCGUAGGCGGUUUGUCACGUCCGCUGUGAAAGCCCGGGGCUUAACCCCGGGUCUGCAGUGGAUACGGGCAGGCUAGAGGUAGGUAGGGGAGAAUGGAAUUCCCGGUGUAGCGGUGAAAUGCGCAGAUAUCGGGAGGAACACCGGUGGCGAAGGCGGUUCUCUGGGCCUUACCUGACGCUGAGGAGCGAAAGCGUGGGGAGCGAACAGG
rnacentral:rRNA from 1 species